AUUUUUUAGAGAUAAUUAAAAGUGAUUUCUGCCCAGUGCGUUAGUAAAUGGCCGCAGUAUUUUGACUGUGCAAAGGUAGCAUAAUAAUUAGUCUUGUAAUUUAAGACUGGAAUGAAAGGAUAAACUGAAAAAACUUUUUCUUUAUUAUUUUCUUUUGAAUUUUACUUUUUAGUAAAAAGGCUAAGAUAUCUCCUUAAGACAAAAAGACCCUAUAAAGCUUUACAUGAUUUAAUUUUAUAAAUUUAGUUUCAUGUUUAACUGGGGCGGUUGAAAGAUAAACACUUUUGAAUUAAUUAAAUAUAAUAAUUUACAUACCCAAAAAUUUUGAAUUCUAAAUAAGUUACUUUAGGGAUAACAGCGUUAUAUACUUAGAAAGCUCAAAUUGACAAGUAUGUUUGCGACCUCGAUGUUGGAUUAGAUUUCCUUUAUUGCGCAAGAGGAAUAUGAAGGGGGUCUGUUCGACCCUUAAAAAUCUCCA
rnacentral:rRNA from 1 species